GUCCCUGAGGAAGUGAUCUCUAAGCUGACAUCUGAGAGAUGAGUGGCUUCCUACAGUGAAAGGGGAAGAGCAGGUGGAAGGAUUCACCUGUGCAAAGCCUGUGGGCGGGGAAGCACGGCACUGGGGGAACCGAAAGAAGGCUGUGGCAUUCAUCACUCGCCCGAAGGCGCCAGACCCCAGGACCUUCCCUGCAAAGAUGGAGGAAGCGCAUGUUAAAAAUUUUGCAAGGGAGAGGAAAUGCCAGAGAACCUCUGAACAGUCAAUCCUUACCAAACUCUAAAUUUUCUCUUGGAAACUCCCACUUGAGGUCAUAUUCAUAGUCCCUGAAGUCAACAUAGAAGUACUCGUUAUCCAGGGGGCCCGUCACCUGGAUCAUCUGCAGCUGGCUUUCAUAUCUAAAUUGCUUGAGAGAUGAACAAGGAGUCAGCAGCAGUCAGCGGCGCUGCAGAGUCAAGCUAGGGAUGAGCCUUCGCCUUCGCCAGCUUUUACCUUUUUGUAUUUGUGACAGAUCAGCACGGUGAGAAUGACAAUGAAGGGGAGACAGAGCCCAAUGGUUGCAUAGAAGGAGAUGUUGUCUUGGAUGAAAGGGAAGGGGCCUGCAAGAGAAGCAGUCACUAGGCGGUGAGAUAAAACUCCCAUGUUCAGUACUAAACAGGCAGUUCCUCUAGCUAGAAUCUUUCACAUUCUGUUCAAGUAACCACCAUUUUCAGACCUAAUGGGCAUUCAGUGUGUUCUGGGUGCCUCACAGAAAGUUGGUUUCUGUUUCUGUAAACAAUGAGUUCCCUUUCCAGAAAAAUAAAAAAUGAUUCUGAACCCA